GCCUAGUUAGCUUAGUUGGUAGUGCGUCUGCCUUGUAAGCGCUAGGCCGCGGGUUAGAUUUCCGCCCGGGGCG
rnacentral:tRNA from 1 species